CUACGGGGGGCUGCAGCAAGGAAUAUUGCGCAAUGGGCGAAAGCCUGACGCAGCGACGUCGCGUGGGGGAUGAAGGUUUUCGGAUUGUAAACCCCUUUUCUGAGGGAAGAAUAAUGACGGUACCUCAGGAAUAAGUCUCGGCUAACUACGUGCCAGCAGCCGCGGUAAUACGUAGGAGGCAAGCGUUAUCCGGAUUCACUGGGCGUAAAGAGCGAGCAGGCGGCUUUUUAAGUCGGAUGUAAAAUCUCCUGGCUCAACCGGGAGGAGCCAUCCGAUACUGGGGAGCUAGAGUGCAGCAGAGGAAGGUGGAAUUCCCGGUGUAGUGGUGAAAUACGUAGAUAGCGGGAGGAACACCAGUGGCGAAGGCGGCCUUCUGGGCUGUAACUGACGCUGAGGAGCAAAGGCGUGGGGAGCAAACAGGAUUAGAUACCCUAGUAGUC
rnacentral:rRNA from 1 species